ensembl:lncRNA
CAGGGCUAUGAUAAUAAGAGGGCGGGGCUAUGGGGCUGGAAGGCUGGGAGGUGGCUCUAUGGGGGCAGGGGGCGUGGCCAGAGCGGGUGGGGGCGUGGUCAUGCAACCGGGGGCGUGGUUAAAUCCACGGGGGCGUGGCAUUACCAUAUAUGGCGCGGUGUGGGCCGAAGGAGGCGUGGCUUUGAUGUGGCGCUGAGGGGCGUGGUCUGUUAGGCCACGCCCCCCUCAAAGCCCCGCCCCCCACCCAGGAGCUUCAGCGCCCCCCGAUGACGGGGAGGACUCCGAGGAGACGUCGGUGUCGUCUGGGGACAGCANNNNNNNNNNNNNNNNNNNNNNNNNNNNNNNNNNNNNNNNNNNNNNNNNNNNNNNNGAUGUGGGGUCUCUGGGGGUCCCUAUGGGGGUCUGGGGGUGUCUGGGGGUCCCUGUGGGGUCUCUAUGGGUGCCUGUGGGUCUCUAUGGGGUUCUAUGGGUGUCUGGGGGUCUCUAUGGGUCUCUAUGGGUUCUUAUGGGGUUUCNNNNNNNGGAGCUUCAGCGCCCCCCGAUGACGGGGAGGACUCCGAGGAGACGUCGGUGUCGUCUGGGGACAGCAGCCCCCCAACGCCCCCCCCCAGUAAUGGCUGCACAGGUAGUGGGGUGGGGGGGGGAUGUGGGGUCUCUGGGGGUCCCUAUGGGGGUCUGGGGGUGUCUGGGGGUCCCUGUGGGGUCUCUAUGGGUCUCUAUGGGUCCCUAUGGGGUUCUAUGGGUGUCUGGGGGUCACUGUGGGUCUCUAUGGGUUCUUAUGGGGUUUCUGUGGGUCCUUAUGGUCCCUAUGGGUCUCUAUGGGUCUCUAUGGGUCUCUAUGGGGUCUUUGGGGUCCCUAUAGGUCUCUGUGGGUGUCUGGGGGUCUCUGGGGGUCUCUAUGGGUCCUUAUGGGGUUUCUGUGGGUCCCUGUGGUCCCUAUGGGUCUCUAUGGGUCUCUAUGGGUCUCUAUGGGGUCUUUGGGGUCCCUAUGGGUCUCUGUGGGUCCCUAUGGGGUUCUAUGGGUGUCUGGGGGUCUCUGUGGGUCUCUAUGGGCCCUUAUGGGGUUUCUGUGGGUCCCUGUGGUCCCUAUGGGUUCCUAUGGGUCUCUAUGGGUCUCUAUGGGGUCUUUGGGGUCCCUAUGGGUCUCUAUGGAUCCCUAUGGGUCUCUGUGGGUCUCUAUGGGUUCCUAUGGGUCUCUAUGGGGUCUUUGUGGGGUCUCUAUGGGUCCUUAUGGGGUCCCUGUGGGUGUCAGUGGGUCCCUAUGGGUCCCUAUGGGUCUCUAUGGGUUUCCAUGGGGUUUUUAUGGUGUCUCUAUGGGUCACUAUGGGUCCCUAUGAGUCUCUAUUGGUCCCUGUGGGUCUCUAUGGGUCUUUAUGGGGUUUUUAUGGGGUCCCUAUGGGUCUCUAUGGGUCUCUAUGGGUCUCUAUGGGUGUCUAUGGGUGUCUAUGGGUCUCUAUGGGGUUUUUUACAGGGUCUCUAUGGUUCCCUAUGGGUCCUAAUGGGUCUCUAUGGGGCUUUUAUGGGGUCUCUAUGGGUCCCUAUGGGGUUUUUUGGGGGUCUCUACGGGUUUCUUGCGGGGUCUCUAUGGGGUUCCUUUCCCUCACAG